rnacentral:rRNA from 1 species
GAUGAACGCUGGCGGCGUGCCUAAUACAUGCAAGUCGAGCGAACUGAUUAGAAGCUUGCUUCUAUGACGUUAGCGGCGGACGGGUGAGUAACACGUGGGCAACCUGCCUGUAAGACUGGGAUAACUUCGGGAAACCGAAGCUAAUACCGGAUAGGAUCUUCUCCUUCAUGGGAGAUGAUUGAAAGAUGGUUUCGGCUAUCACUUACAGAUGGGCCCGCGGUGCAUUAGCUAGUUGGUGAGGUGACGGCUCACCAAGGCAACGAUGCAUAGCCGACCUGAGAGGGUGAUCGGCCACACUGGGACUGAGACACGGCCCAGACUCCUACGGGAGGCAGCAGUAGGGAAUCUUCUGCAAUGGACGAAAGUCUGACGGAGCAACGCCGCGUGAGUGAUGAAGGCUUUCGGGUCGUAAAACUUUGUUGUUAGGGAAGAACAAGUACAAGAGUAACUGCUUGUACCUUGACGGUACCUAACCAGAAAGCCACGGCUAACUACGUGCCAGCCGCCGCCGUAAAAC